rnacentral:rRNA from 1 species
AUUGAACGCUGGCGGCAUGCCUUACACAUGCAAGUCGAACGGUAACAGGUCUUCGGAUGCUGACGAGUGGCGAACGGGUGAGUAAUACAUCGGAACGUGCCUAGUAGUGGGGGAUAACUACUCGAAAGAGUGGCUAAUACCGCAUGAGAUCUACGGAUGAAAGCAGGGGAUCGCGAGACCUUGUGCUACUAGAGCAGCCGAUGGCAGAUUAGGUAGUUGGUGGGAUAAAAGCUUACCAAGCCGACGAUCUGUAGCUGGUCUGAGAGGACGAUCAGCCACACUGGGACUGAGACACGGCCCAGACUCCUACGGGAGGCAGCAGUGGGGAAUUUUGGACAAUGGGCGAAAGCCUGGUCCAGCAAUGCCGCGUGCAGGAUGAAGGCCUUCGGGUUGUAAACUGCUUUUGUACGGAACGAAAAGCCCCGGGUUAAUACCCUGGGGUCAUGACGGUACCGUAAGAAUAAGCACCGGCUAACUACGUGCCAGCCGCCGCCGUAA